rnacentral:rRNA from 1 species
UACGAAGGGGGCUAGCGUUGCUCGGAAUGACUGGGCGUAAAGGGCGCGUAGGCGGUUUGUACAGUCAGAUGUGAAAUUCCUGGGCUCAACCUGGGGGGCUGCAUUUGAUACGUAUGGACUGGAGUGAGGAAGAGGGUCGUGGAAUUCCCAGUGUAGAGGUGAAAUUCGUAGAUAUUGGGAAGAACACCGGUGGCGAAGGCGGCGACCUGGUCCUUUACUGACGCUGAGGCGCGAAAGCGUGGGGGAGCAAACAGG